UACGUAGGGUGCAAGCGUUAAUCGGAAUUACUGGGCGUAAAGCGUGCGCAGGCGGCUAUGCAAGACAGAUGUGAAAUCCCCGGGCUCAACCUGGGAACUGCAUUUGUGACUGCAUGGCUAGAGUGCGGCAGAGGGGGAUGGAAUUCCGCGUGUAGCAGUGAAAUGCGUAGAUAUGCGGAGGAACACCGAUGGCGAAGGCAAUCCCCUGGGCCUGCACUGACGCUCAUGCACGAAAGCGUGGGGAGCAAACAGG
rnacentral:rRNA from 2 species